UUAAAUUAUUAUUUAAUUACUCUGACAAUAAAAAUUACAAUGAGUUUUAGGGUCCUCUGGCAGGCACUGACCAGCAGAAGCCAGCGGUCUAAAGACGGGCCUACCAAAGCAACAAAAGUAUUGUAAACAAAGGGUGGGAGAUAUACCCCUAAGGGCAUUUUCUCUUUUAAUGAUCCUUCCGCAGGUUCACCUACGGAAA
rnacentral:misc_RNA from 1 species